rnacentral:hammerhead_ribozyme from 1 species
AUCCGGCUGAAGAGUCCCAAAUAGAACGAAACAUGCUUCCUAGAU